rnacentral:rRNA from 1 species
GACGAACGCUGGCGGCGUGCUUAACACAUGCAAGUCGAACGGUAAGGCCCUUCGGGGUACACGAGUGGCGAACGGGUGAGUAACACGUGGGUGAUCUGCCCUGCACUUCGGGAUAAGCCUGGGAAACUGGGUCUAAUACCGGAUAGGACCACUGCCUGCAGGGGGGGUGGUGGAAAGCUUUUGCGGUGUGGGAUGGGCCCGCGGCCUAUCAGCUUGUUGGUGGGGUGAUGGCCUACCAAGGCGACGACGGGUAGCCGGCCUGAGAGGGUGACCGGCCACACUGGGACUGAGAUACGGCCCAGACUCCUACGGGAGGCAGCAGUGGGGAAUAUUGCACAAUGGGCGCAAGCCUGAUGCAGCGACGCCGCGUGAGGGAUGACGGCCUUCGGGUUGUAAACCUCUUUCAGCACCGACGAAGCGCAAGUGACGGUAGGUGCAGAAGAAGGACCGGCCAACUACGUGCCAGCAGCCGCCGUAAGAC